AUUGAACGCUGGCGGCAGGCCUAACACAUGCAAGUCGAGCGAGUGGCGGACGGGUGAGUAAUGCAUGGGGAUCUGCCCGAUAGAGGGGGAUAACUACUGGAAACGGUGGCUAAUACCGCAUACUAUCGGAUGAACCCAUAUGGGAUUAGCUAGUAGGUGGGGUAAAGGCUCACCGAGGCGACGAUCUCUAGCUGGUCUGAGAGGAUGAUCCGCCACACUGGGAUGUUGACACGGCCCAGACUCCUUCGGGAGGCCGCAGGGGGGAAUAAUUCACAAUGGGCGCAAGCCUGAUGCAGCCAUGCCGCGUGUAUGAAGAAGGCCUUAGGGUUGUAAAGUACUUUCAGCGGGGAGGCGUUACCCGCAGAAGAAGCACCGGCUAACUCCGUGCCAGCAGCCGCGGUAAUUC
rnacentral:rRNA from 1 species